rnacentral:rRNA from 1 species
GACGAACGCUGGCGGCGUGCUUAACACAUGCAAGUCGAACGGAAAGGCCCUGCUUUUGUGGGGUGCUCGAGUGGCGAACGGGUGAGUAACACGUGAGUAACCUGCCCUUGACUUUGGGAUAACUUCAGGAAACUGGGGCUAAUACCGGAUAGGAGCUCCUGCUGCAUGGUGGGGGUUGGAAAGUUUCGGCGGUUGGGGAUGGACUCGCGGCUUAUCAGCUUGUUGGCGGGGUAGUGGCUUACCAAGGCUUUGACGGGUAGCCGGCCUGAGAGGGUGACCGGCCACAUUGGGACUGAGAUACGGCCCAGACUCCUACGGGAGGCAGCAGGGGGGAAUAUUGCACAAUGGGCGGAAGCCUGAUGCAGCAACGCCGCGUGCGGGAUGACGGCCUUCGGGUUGUAAACCGCUUUCGCCUGUGACGAAGCGUGAGUGACGGUAAUGGGUAAAGAAGCACCGGCUAACUACGUG